GACUAAAAACCAUCUAAUUAUUUUUUAGAAGCACAUAAACUUUAUACAUUAUAAAGAGAUCAAAUUAUACAAUAUUUCUCACAUGCAAAAAUAAAAAUAUAUGGCUACCAUUCUCAAACUUGUUUAUGCUAUGAUUCUAAUUCUUCCCUUAUUUCUUUUUGCACUUGAAGAUGGCGGUAAAGGAAAUUCUAGGAGAAUGAUGCAUUCGAGUAAUCUGAAAGAUGAGAGUGACAAGCAAGAGAAUAGUAGAGGACAAGAACAUCCAAUGAACCAUGAAUUUGAGGGAGGAGGGGAUGCUAAUAAAAGAGUCCCAAAAUGUUUCCAGUGUGGAGAUAUUGGGCAUUAUGCGUUCGAUUGCACUUCCAGUGAAAAGUUGUGUUUCAAUUGUAAGAAUCCAGGACAUUUUAUUAAAGAAUGUGAAGAACUGAAAGAGAAACCUUUAGUGAAUGCUGCUAAAGCAUGAAAUUGUAGAUCUAUCUUUCAUGAGAUUUAGAUCGUCUCAAUAUGUAUUUUUCUCAAUUUUCUUCAAUCUUAAAUCUUAUGUGAGUUUUUAGGUCUUGCAUGUAGUUUAUGAAGAUUGCAUGUUACUUUGAAUGGUUAAUUUUGUUUAGAAAAUUAUAAUGUUUCAAUGUUCUUUGUUUUUGGAUAUGAUUUGAGGCUUUAAUUUGAGUAUUUAGAUUCAAGAAAUUUGUUGUUUAUGAGAUUUUGAGAUUACCGCAUUUCUAUGAGUGUUGAAAAAAGAAAUAGGAAGAAUAUUUGAAUUGUUCAUGAGACCUAUACUUGAUUUUGUAUAAAAAGUUGAUUUUUAUACUUAUUUUUAAAUUUUGACGCUCAAAAUAGAUAUCAAGAGUCUAAGUCUCCCAAAUGAUAAAUAUUUUGUGCCGAUUAAGUUGCUUUUAAAUUAUUUUUUAGUAGAAUUAAGUUUUUGUUCACGAGAUUUGAAUUUAUGCAUUAAGUUAUAAAUUUUAAGAAAAAUGACUAAUUUUGGAGACUAUGGUACAAUUAAGGAUGUAAACCAUAAGGAUGGUAAUCUUUUAGUUAGAGAAAGCAACUGGGUUAGCCUUUGAUGCAUUAAAGCCUUAUUUAGAGGUUUCGAAAUGAUUUGGGGAAUAUCUUUUGGGCAUCUACGGUUUUGGUUCAUUUGAAUUGAUAGAAAUAAUCACAUUUUUAGAGGAGGGAUAUUUAAUGUAGAUGAUACUAUAAAUUCUAUCAAAUUUUGCUCUUGGAGAGGGUCUGUUUUAGACUCUAACUUAUCUACCUGCUAUGAUUUCUAUGACAGAUUUAUUUCUCUUGUAAACUGUUUAAAGUGGAUGUAACAUUUCCGCAUUCUCCUUUUGUAAAGAUUUUGAGUACCCCUUAUUCUCCUUUUGAUAUUUUUAUUGCCUAUAAAAAAUAACACUUUAGGUUUAUUCAUAUUUUAAAAAUGAUUCUUUUUUGAGCAUAAAGUAAACAUAUCUAUUUAUAAUCCAUUAAAAAUGCACCUUUGCGUUUUAACAUUUCAAUUUCCUUUUUGGCAUAUAAUUCAUAUUAUCAUGUUUCUCAUGUUGCAGUAUCUUUUAAAAUUCAUCUUUACUUCUUAAAAAGUUAAAACAAAUAUUUAUUUGCUAUAAAAGGUCAUGAAUUUAAAUUAUGACAAAUUCAAAAAUAUUUUAAUCUAAUGAAUAUAUAUAUAUAUAUAUAUAUAUAUAUAUAUAUAUAUNNNNNNAAGAGGAGAUCAUGUUGCAGUAAUCUUUUAAAAUUCAUCUUACUUCUUAAAAAGUUAAAACAAAAAUUAUUUUUUCUAUAAAAGUCAUGAAUUUAAAUUAUGACAAAUUCAAAAUAUUUUAAUCUAACUGAAUAUUAUAUAUAUAUAUAUAUAUAUAUAUAUUAUAUAUAUAUAUAUAUAUAUAUAUAUAUAUAUUAUAUAUAUAUAUAAUAUAUAUAUAUAUAUAUAUAUAUAUAUAUAAUAUAUAUAUAUUUAUAAUAUAUUAUAUAUAAAUUUAUAUAUUUGUUUUGAAUAAAUUCUUCUUUUAUAAAAAUAAGUUAAUUUAUUUUUGAUAUAUCUUUUAAUAUAACUCUAAACCAAUUAAGUUUAUUUCAAUUUUAACAAAUUAAAUAGUACUUAUUUAUGAUACCAUUUUGAAUACUACCAUGGAAAGUUGGUCGUUUUUUUUAAGGUUUUAUUUUAAAAUCACAUUACAAGCAUUAAAUAUAUAUAAUAUAAUAGAUAUAUCAUUUUCUUGCAUAUUGAUAUUAUGUCAGAAUUCAACUCAUUACAAUAUUUUAAAGAAAUGAUUCAUGACUCAUUUUUGAAGUUGCAUAUUUCUGAUACCUUAAGUGUUUAUGAUUUUUGUUUGUUCUUAUAAGCGUUUGGUUCUAGUUUUUUAUCUUAUUGAGUCUCCUCAUCAAUUAUGGCAAUUGAUAUUUAGAUUCGUAUUUUAGCAUGUAUGAGUCCAAGUAUUUGAUUAUAGCUUAAAGCAAUAUGAUUGAAAUCAAUCUAUUGAGUUUGUCCAGUCAAAAACUAAUGCUUGAGAAUGAUUAAAUCAAUGACCAUUGUAGAACUCCAAAAAUCCUUUAAAAAUUAUUGAAAAGAAAUUUGGCCAGUGUAACUGAAUUACACAGUUAGUCUGAUUUGAAUCAGAAGGAUAUAUUUUCAGAUCUUCUAAUUCGAAUCAAAGGAAGUCUAAUUUGAAUUAAAGCAAUUUGAAUCAAAUCACAAAAUUGUGUGAUUCGAAUCACUUAUGAAAUGAAAUUCUCCUGGUGGUUUUAGAACUCAUGACUGGGAGCAACCGAUUAUUUGACUGACGUCAAGUGAUUUGAAUCACAGACUUGUGAUUCAAAUCAACAAAUGAAUUUCAUAUAGUUUUUGCUUAUUGAUUAAAUCAUUGGUUUUUUGAUUCCAAUUUAACUCUUGCUUUGAACUUAAAUCAUACACCAUUUUUGUCUCAUUUUAGACUAGAUCUCCAACACAUAUAGAUACGUUUCUCUCAAAAACCUUACAAAAUAUUAGAAAACACACACUUCCAAUAUUAAUUUGAAAACUCACAAACUAACUUGUUCUCUCAUAUUUUCCAAAGAGUUUUGAAUCUUUUUUGGACACUUGUAAGUGUUUCUUUCGUCUCUACCUUAUUCUUUAUCCAUUAUACAUGAUAAGAAUCUCAUAUUUGAGAUCGUGAUUGUUUUUGAGAUGUUUUUGAAUUUAAUGUGUCUUGAAGAUUUUAAUUAAGUUUAGAGGUUCUCAAGAUGUGGAUGUUGUGGUUGGUUUCGACAAUUCGAGUAAAAAGAAGGACUUCUUCUCUUCAGGUCCAUAUUGGUAGCGUUGUGUGGAAGCCUACAGACAAGGUGAGAGUUUUCUUCUCAAUCUUCAAACAUACCAACAUUAAGAUAUCAACAAGAUUAAGUAAAGAUCAUUACAGAGCAGAGACUUUGGAGUAGGUUGUUGGGCGUGAAGAUUUUAUAAAGAGUUAACUUGUAGGUGUGAAGACAAAGCUUCCAACAAAUUUUGAUGAAGAAAUGAAUCAAGCUUAAAUUUCCUUAUCAAAAAGAAGAGAAAAAAUUGCUUUUGGUCAAUCAAGAUAUAUAGAAAUUCAUAUCAUAUGCAAUCUUAAAGUUCUCAAUUUUACUGAUCAUACAUUUGAAAAUAUUCAUGUCAUACUUUGUUAAAAUAUUUUUUAAAAUGUUUUAAUUGCAUUAGUUUGAAAAUAAAUUUUGAUGCAUGCAUAAAGUUGUGGACUUAGAAUUUUUCAAUUUAAUAGCAAGCAAUUGAUUGACAUAAUUGUGCAAUCGAUUGAAUAGAAAUUUGAAAUUUAAAAUUUAAACCACUGCAAUCGAUUAACAUGUUUCUGCAAUCGAUUGCAUCAGUUCAUUUUUUCCAAUCAAUUGUACCUAAACCAGUUUGGAAAAUACUGAUUCAUGUUCACUACUUCACUCACUCCUUUUCAUGGCAUCUCUUAAAUUAAUCUCAUAUAUUUCAUAAAUAUUUUCAAACCAUUGCCAUAUUUUAUCAAGGGAUGCUUUCAUCACUAUAAAUACAUUCACAUUUUCAUUUUACACUCACCUCUUUCAAAUUAAUCAUGAUUUCUCUGCAUAAUUUUCAAUAGAACCUUUACACUAAUAUACUUUUUGAAAUACAUUUUUAUAUCAUAUUCAACAAAGUAUCUUUGAGCACUUAUAGAGCAUUUGUUCUUGAAUCUUCAUAUUUUGAAAGAGAAUAAGACUUUUAUCAUUUGAUUAAAUCUUGUUCGUUAUACAAACUUACUUCUUAUACAAUUAUUACUGUAAAUUCCUAAGUUUCAAGGCUUGCACAGAAGCUCCUGAAAAACAAUUCAACCAGAAUCAAAAUCUGAGUUAGAUUCUGAAGAGGUAUUUUCUGAACUUUCUUGUUCUGAGCUGGAAUCUAGUUUAUCAAAAGUUAUGGAAAAAUAUCAAAAUCUUAUGAACAAAUACAAGAAUCUGAAGAAAGAUUCAUGUAUUUGAGUCAGAAGCUUACUAUAAGCUCCAGAAAGACUUUUCAAGUUUGAGUGAAGAAAAUCUCAUUUUGAAAAAGCACCAACUCUGUGCCCCAAAGGAAGAGUCUCAAACCCGAAAAAAGAAAAUUCUUUCAAAAGCCUCUAUAGUUUCUGGUGAUAUUAUAAAGAAAAUAUGACAAAUAUUUCCAUAAAUUUAUUGAUAUAAGCCUGAAUAGAAGCUAUUACCUUUGUUAAGCUAUCACUGGACUGAUAGUAGGUAAUAUCCUCUUAUCUUUGGUUGGUUACCUUUUGAAGCUAUCACUUGGCCGGUAGUUGGUAAGCUUCCCUUUUUGAGCUUAUUACCUUUGUUAAGUUAUCACUGGGCUGAUAGUAGGUAAUAUCCCUCUUAUCUUUGGUUGGUUACCUUUGUUAAGCUAUCACUUGGAUGGUAGUUGGUAAUUUUCCCUUUUAAGCUUAUUACCUUUGUUAAGCUAUCACUGGAUGAUAGUAGGUGAUAUCCCUCUUAUCUUUGGUUGGUUACCUUUGUUAGCUAUCACUUGGCUGGUAGUUGGUAUUCCCUUUUUGAGCUUAUCACCUUUGUUAAGCUAUCACUGAGGUGAUAAUAGGUAAUAUUCCUAUUAUCUUUGGUUGGUUACUUUGUUUAAGCUAUCACUUGGAUGAUAGUUGAUAAUCUUUCAUUUUGGGCCUAUUACUUUGUUAAGGUAUCACUUGGAUGAUAGUUAGGUAUAUUUUCUCCCCUAGUGGAGUUAGGCAUCCCAUUUGAUUGAUCUUUCCCCUUUGAUUGAUCUUUCCCCCGGCGGAGUCUUGCUUUGAUAAGUCUUCCCCAUUUGGUCCAUUUGGUUUGUUUAUUUUCUAACUAUGCAUUGGUUUCUUCCUAAUUCAAUAUUUAUUCCUGAGCCGAGUUGUUCCCCUGUGGAACUUUGUUUGUCCUAGUUGGGUUUUCCCCUUUUGGAAACUGGUAUUCCCAUGCGGAGUUUUAGUCUCCUCUUUCUCCAACAAUUCUUUGUCUCUCGUGUCGCUAUGUUCCCCACAUAAUCCUUGUCUACAUUCAUAUCAAUAAGCAUUUUUGGCGAUAUCUUAGGGCCAAAAAUUGGGUUUAUGUAUUUAAGUCUCUUCAAUAUCGUCGAGACGAAAAUUUCAAAUCUCCAUAUCUCCGAAUUGAAGAAACUUAAAUUAGGAACAUCUGUCAUACCCUAAUUUUUAACCCUAAGGUCCCUCAUACCAUUUGCACCCUUGCAUCAGACAAGAUCACAUCUUGGUCUCUCUCCUUUCUAUGGGGUUUGCCUUUUGUAGGGAUCUACACAUCUUUGUUGUUUUUUAUCUUUUGUGUUUAUUGUCCAUUACUUUUAACUACUCAAUCAUUAAAACAUGUUUUGUUUAAGUCUAUUGUGCAAGGUAGGGAUUUUCCAUCAAGAACAUCAAGCAUGGAUCAUCAACUAGGGUUUGUUUUGAUUCUUCAACAAGUAUGGUCAACCAUUGGUUCUCAGGGAUUUAUCUCUUAAGCAUGAUCUCUAAGGUUCUCAAGAACCUUCAAUCUCGUUUGUAUCAAGAGCAUCUCAAAGUUCUGUGGCUUACUUCUCAAGAAAAGUCAAGGUUCAUGUGUUUAUUUUCAUGCCUUCUUCAAUAAGUUUCCCUCAAACUUUGAGAAAUCCAACCAAAGGACAUUAAAGGACACUUUAUUUUGAGUUCAUAUGAUCAAUCCAUCUACCUUGAAAUGCAAGAAAAGUUCAAGUGCACAAGCUUAUUCCAAGAUGGUUUUGACCAAAAGUCAACAUUUGCAAUUAAAGUCCAAAGGAUUAUAACUCCUUCAAUUCUCAACAUUUUUGAAUGCUUCUUUUUGCAUAUGACUCUUCUUAUUAUCCUAUACAACUUAUCUUUACAUGACAAGAGCCAAUUAUGCUUGUAAGAUUAUCAAAAGGUUGGAGACAUUAUAGGUCAUUUGUGGCACUUAGUGAAAUUUGACCUAUUUUCAAGUGACUUUUUCUCAAACUUUCAAGAUUUAUAACUUCUUGAAUUCUUAACAUUUGAGGCUUAUUAUUUUGAAAAAUAUCAUUUGCGAUUCACUCUACAAGUUUGCUUUCAAGGAUCAAAGUCAAAAUAUGUUUGGAAGACCAUGCAAUCCAUUGACACAUUAGAAGUCAUUUUCAGCCAUUGGAUACUCAAAAAUUUCCAAGUUACAUGACCGAGUUUUUUCGUGCCAACUUCAACAAUGACAUAAUUUUGUGCUCAAGCAUCCAAAUGCAAACUUUCUCCGCAUAUUGUAAUCUUUGAUAUGAUGUCAACACAAUGCAAGAAGAAUGGGAUCAAAAAGUCUCAUGAGCAAGAUGCCCUUUGAGUUGAACAUGGUAACUUAAAACUGAAGAAAUCACCAUGAUUCAGAUUUGAUUCACUAAUUCUCAAUUACAGCCAAAUUAACACGCGUUUUGGACCUAAACAUGUUUAACCAAGUCUCCAAGAAGUUAAUUGACCCUGGAAACACAUGUUUGGAUGAGGUUUGAUGAAUUGCAAGUCACACUUUUCUCACUUCAUGAUCAAAUUGUUUUGCAUGAAUUAAGCUUGAUUCCACACACGUAUUGGAUCCAAACACAUUCCCUAUAAAUAGAGGAAGCUAUUGCAUUCAUUUCCAAGCUUUUGAGAGCCAGGAAAUCUCCGCUUCAAUUUGAAAAUUUCCAAAAAAAAUCAACUAUCGUGUUUUGAAUUCCAGCUUGAUUGAACCCAAUUUCUUGAUUCAUUAGCAUUUUCGGCCCCCUCUGAAGCUUUUGCAACAAUUCCCAGGAUUUGCGACCUCAUUGAAUGCUCUAAUCAGAUCGAGCUUCGUCGACUUUAUUCACCAUUUGGACAAGGUAGUUCUGAGCAUUAUUUGAACUCAAACAAGUUGCCAUACUAUAGUCCUUCACUCUCUGAUGCUUUCCCCUAACUUAUUUGGUGUUGGUUGUUCGUAUUCAUCAUUUAAUUUUAUUUUUCGUGGCUUACUUGCUUCUGAACUUCUCUAAAAUUUCCCAUGCCUCAAUUUAGAUAAAUGAAUUUGGAGCAUGAAAGUUGAAUUCAUGUUGGCGGAGGAGAUCACAUUGGUGGUGGUCCCUGUUUCUGAAAUUACCAAAUGAUGAAGCUCCGAUGAGGGAUCAUCGGGAAAGAUGACCAUAGUGUUUCAGGUCGUCUGAGUUUGGCCAGACACGUUGGACAAUUAAAAUGCUCUAAUUUGUUCAAUUUAAAUGCAAUCCCGUGUUUUAUUUUAGCUAAAUUCCAUCGUACCGCCCUAGCCUUGUGAGUGUUGGAUCUGCCACGUCAAUUAAUGAGGCCGAUCCAACGCUCCGUAUUUUUUUAUUUUUUUUAAAUUGCAUUUUCUUUUAAAAUUCCUAGGAAAUUCAUUUUACAUCCAAAAAAUCACAAAAUAACUUCUAAAAUUCUCUUUUAUUUCUUCAUCUGAAUUUUAUUUUGCAUAUUUUAUUUUAUUGAUUUUCUAUUUUCAUGGAAUUUCUCCUUUUCUCCUUUGUUUUAAUCGGUUUAAAAUAGUUUUCUCCAUUUUAAAAUUCAGAGAAUUUUAUUAUAUGCUUCUAUUUUAUUUCCAACCUUCCAUAAUUUUCUUGACCAUUUAUUUGGUGUUUUGAAGGACUUUAUGGGUUUUCCUAUUCAUUUCCAUUUUAAAAUUCAUUUUAAAAGUAUUUUUAAUUCAUUUUAUUGCAUUUUAUAUUUGUAUGACCUUUUGGACUUCUGUUGGCCUCGGAUCAUGGUUGUUUUAAUCAUAUGUCUCAUCAAAAUUCAAUGGAUCUUGGUGUUUGAUGGGUUGAAAACCCUAAUACACCAAAAGGAUGAUAGAUCUUGAUGGUGACUUGAUCAACAUCUGAUCCAAUUUUGGUGUGAUCUCUCUUGUCCUCUUCUUUUUCAUCUCUUUCUCUUCCUCUUGAUCAAUUGGAUGGUUUAUGUCCAUCUAGUACAUGAUGUAUGGAUUGGUGUUUGAUGAACUUUCAUCAUUUCAAAUCUACCUCUUAAUUGGUCUUUGAUCAUUUAGGGUACUUUUAUUGAUGCAUAAGUUUGUACUGGGUACUACGGAGUAUAAAUUGAUGUAAUGGACCACUCUCAUAGCCUUUGUACUUGAUCAAUUAUCUUUUUUUUUGUGGCAUAGGUUUAGGAGAAUGAUUUACAUCUCAUUUCUCUAGCAUGUAUUAACACAAACGUUGUUAUUGACCGACCUUAAAUAGUUAUGACUUCUACAUAAGUCCAAUUACGAUUGCUUAAUAUAUCGUUAAAUUUGUCCCGAAAGUAAGUCAUUUACAUAAGUGACAUUGUAAGUCUCCUACUCCUCAUGGUAUUGUGUGAAAAUAUUGCUUCCUUUUCAUUUAUGAGAGCUAAUGACAUACUUGUUGAUUCUAUCCAAGUUGGAGUCCUUCUCAUAGGUGAUAUAAAUGUCCAUGUUUUCAUGUUUGUGAGUGAAUAGUUGAGUGUUCUACAAAAAAUGACAAAUUGCCUUUCUCUUUUGAUUACUAACAUCAUUUAUUAAUAUUUUAUUGUAUUAACUUUAUUUUAAUGUCAUUUAUAUUAUGAUCUUACUUUUUUUGUCAUUUACUUUAUGCUUUUACUUUAGCAUCCCACAUCAUAUUGUUUAUGUUUAUGCUCUUUUACUCUUUGCCUAUUUGGAUUUCUUUUUCUUUUAAAGGCAUUUAUAAAGGAAUAAACUUCUAAAAAUUGGUUCUCUAGAUUUGUGGACUUGAGGUUACUAUCCUUAGCAUGUGUGGAGUUAUGGACUUAGAACUAGAUCUUGACCCUUGCUUUGGGAGUUGUGAUUUGAGAUCUUGAUUUCAUCUGGUACUUUUGACUUUGGACCUCUUUUGAAGAUUUGGCUUGACUACUUUGAUUUCAUCUGAUGCAUGGUAUAUUCUUUUGCUUAUUUGGCUUGUUGAGGCUUAAUCCAAAGGAGGAAAUUCUUGCUUGACUUAUGUAACAAAUCUUGCUAUCUCUUGGUUAGAUCUUUCCUCCCAGCUUUUACUUUAUGUUCUAAGAAGCUACUCUUCUCCUUACCCCUCUUUGAUUUUCAAAAUCCUCUCUCUCUUUUCAAAACUUUAUUGUUUUCAAACUUGAACGCUUUCUCAAUAAACCUUGAAUUUUUUCACGUGAUUUUGAAAAUCUUUUCUUAAUAAAUGUUAAUACAUGCUAAGCAUAUCAAAAACCAAUUUCAAAAGAUUAAAAAAAAUAUAUAACUCAUUUAAAUUAUUUUGUGCCCUUUGCACCUUUCUUUUAAACUUUUCUCAAAGUUUAGACAUGAGUCAUUUCCAUAGUUGAGAUGUAAUUCUCCUAUCCCCAUAGUAUUGAUGAUUAUUCUUUUCCACCCAAGAGAGCUAGAGGCGUACUUACUGAUCUUUAUCCAAGUUGGAGCUCUUCUCUUUGGUGAUGUAAAGUUCUCAUACUUGUGGGUGCCUAACUAAGUAUUCUCCUAAAAAGACAAAAUGUAUUUUCAUUAAAAAUGAAUCAAAACAAACAGUCUUUGUCACUUUUACCAUGAACUGCAAGGUUUUGAUCCUCCAUUUCACUUUGUUGAUACGUAGGCAUGAAACUCAGAAAGUCUUGGCAAUCACAAAAAUCAUAAAAACAUUUCUUUUCUCAUCUCCUCAUUCUUUUGCAAACAACAUUUUUUAAAGCAAAAAUAUACAGAUUUCAAAGAGUUCCCAUGGAGUACCAUGGAUGUUUAGGGUGCUAAUACAUUCCCUUUGCAUAACUAACCCCCUUACCCGUAGCUCUUUUUAUUAGUUUUUGUUUUAAAAACUUUCUUGGUUUUGUUUGUACUUUUUCCUUUCCCUUUGGAAAUAAUAAAAGCACGGUGACGACACUUGCUUUGCGAGUUAAGUUAAUCAAUACUUAAUCUCAAAUUUUACCGCUACAAGUAUCACUAUCAGCAUAUCUCUUUCCAUUGAAAAAUCAGGGUUCCAUUCUGUUAAGAACAUAAGUUAUGACCCCUGAUCAUCACUUCAUUCCUACUUUCUCUAAUUUGAACUUUAAUAUGAAUAUCCUUAGUCAUUGUAGAAAAUUUCGGGCAAUUGAGUAAAUUUCCAUGACUUAAUCAUAUAAUUCUUCACAACAUUCAUGCUCAGGUUUUCCCCAAUCACAUACAUGAUCAAAGAGCAUUCCCAAAACCUCAUCUCAGAUUCCACAUCUUCAUUCUCAAUUUCGACUUCAAUUUCACCACCUACGACCUUUGGUGCCACAAAUAUAAUGGACAUACUAUUUGUUGUAUCUUUGUUACCCCUGAUGAUGUCCAUCCACAAUUUAGCCCCCUUCACGUUGUUCUUCACCUCCACGGCCGGUUCCUUCGUGCUAUCAGAAUUUCCAUCAAUCCCUAACCCUUCCCCUUUUCCAUCCUCAUCUUUCGCUUCAUCGUCUCUAAUGGUUGGGUUAUCCACUUCUGAUUCCCCGUAUCUUCUUGCGUCGUGAUUUUUGAGCUGAUUCACGAUUUUUCGACGAACGAGGCACCUUCUUCUUCGGUCGCCCCCUUCCAUGUGAUAUCAUUUUUAAAAAAUUGAGACUUUAAUUACUAUAGUUGUGUAUUUCUCUUCUUCUUUUUUUGAUGUUAGUAUUUUCUCUUGUGUUUAAAAAUUUGUUUCUUUUCACAAGUAACUCAUGUUUUAUUCUUUAAAUUUUGAUGUCACUAUAAUUAUUUUAAUAUUUUCAUUAUGACAAUUUUCUUUAAAUUUUAUUAUAUUUAAUAAUAUUUUAAAUAUAUAUAUUAUUAUUAUUUACAUUUUUAUAAAAUAUUUUAUGAUAUUAUCUGAUUGAAUACAUAUAUUUCGAUAAUAAAUUUGUUAUCAAAUUAUGAACAAUAAAUUUUAUGAGUCUCAUAAUAAAAUUACAAAAAUAAUAAAAUAAAUUAGUUUCAAAAUACAUCCUCUUCCCAUUUGAACCAAAUAUAAUUGUAAAAUUGAUAAACUUUUGAUCGUGUCUACCACUAAUAAUAAAUAAUUUAAUCUUUAUAUUCUAUGCAUUAAAUACACCUUUGAUCAGUUGAAGGGGACAAACACACUGUAUGUUAACACUUUUUUUGUGUGGUUACUUAUCUAACACUUUAGACAUAACUUUCUAGACACUAGAUGGUCAAAUAUUAUGUUCUAUAUUCUAUCAAAAAUCUGAUAUGAAUAAAAAACAUUGUAAUAUGUAUCUUAGCAAAGUCCAACAUAAAUAAAUAACUAUCUAGUGAGAUUUAUCCACAAGUAACUUUGCCAUUGUAUAAAAAGAAAAUUUUCUCUUUAUUCUCAUGAAAGAUUAACAAAAGAGGUGCAAGUUAGUUAAAAAAAAGAAUGAGUUUUUAAUGAUAACAAAUUUGUUACAUGCCCUCCUUAAUUGAUGUGUUUAAAGGGACAAACACAACAUAAUAAUAUUACUUAAAAGCUAUUUGACAACAAUUAUAAUUCUAUGAAGGGGUUUUGACUAAAAACCAUCUAAUUAUUUUUUAGAAGCACAUAAACUUUAUACAUUAUAAAGAGAUCAAAUUAUACAAUAUUUCUCACAUGCAAAAAUAAAAAUAUAUGGCUACCAUUCUCAAAUUGUUUAUGCUAUGAUUCUAAUUCUUCCCUUAUUUCUUUUUGCACUUGAAGAUGGCGGUAAAGGAAAUUCUAGGAGAAUGAUGCAUUCGAGUAAUCUGAAAGAUGAGAGUGACAAGCAAGAGAAUAGUAGAGGACAAGAACAUCCAAUGAACCAUGAAUUUGAGGGAGGAGGGGAUGCUAAUAAAAAGAGUCCCAAAAUGUUUCAGUGUGGAGAUAUUGGGCAUUAUGCGUUCGAUUGCACUUCCAGUGAAAAGUUGUGUUUCAUUGUAAGAAUCCAGGACAUUUUAUAAAAGAAUGUGAAGAACUGAAAGAGAAAACCUUUAGUGAAUGCUGCUAAAGCAUGAAAUUGUAGAUCUAUCUUUCAUGAGAUUUAGAUCGUCUCAAUAUGUAUUUUUCUCAAUUUUUCUUCAAUCUUAAUCUUAUGUGAGUUUUUAGGUCUUGCAUGUAGUUUAUGAAGAUUGCAUGUUACUUUGAAUGGUUAAUUUUGUUUAGAAAAUUAUAAUGUUUCAAUGUUCUUUUGUUUUUGGAUAUGAUUUGAGGCUUUAAUUUGAGUAUUUCAGAUUCAAGAAAUUUGUUGUUUUAUGAGAUUUUGAGAUUACCGCAUUUCUAUGAGUGUUGAAAAAGAAAUAGGAAGAAUAUUUGAAUUGUUCAUGAGACCUAUACUUGAUUUUGUAUAAAAAGUUGAUUUUUAUACUUAUUUUUAAAUUUUGACGCUCAAAAUAGAUAUCAAGAGUCUAAGUCUCCCAAAUGAUAAAUAUUUUGUGCCGAUUAAGUUGCUUUUAAAUUAUUUUUUUAGUAGAAUUAAGUUUUUUGUCACAGGAUUUGAAUUUAUGCAUUAAGUUAUAAAUUUAAGAAAAAUGACUAAUUUUGGAGACUAUGGUACAAUUAAGGAUGUAAACCAUAAGGAUGGUAAUCUUUUAGUUAGAGAAAGCAACUGGGUUAGCCUUUGAUGCAUUAAAGCCUUAUUUAGAGGUUUCGAAUGAUUUGGGGAAUAUCUUUUGGGCAUCUACGGUUUUGGUUCAUUUGAAUUGAUAGAAAUAAUCACAUUUUUAGAGGAGGGAUAUUUAAUGUAGAUGAUACUAAAAUUCUAUCAAAUUUUGCUCUUGGAGAGGGUCUGUUUUAGACUCUAACUUAUCUACCUGCUAUGAUUUCUAUGACAGAUUUAUUUCUCUUGUAACUGUUUAAGUGGAUGUAACAUUUCCGCAUCUCCUUUGUAAAGAUUUUGAGUACCCUUAUUCUCCUUUUGAUAUUUUUAUUGCCUAUAAAAAUACCACUUUAGGUUUAUUCAUAUUUUAAAAAUGAUUCUUUUUGAGCAUAAAGUAAACAUAUCUAUUUAUAAUCCAUUAAAAUGCACCUUUGCGUUUUAACAUUUCAAUUUCCUUUUUGGCAUAUAAUUCAUAUUAUCAUGUUUCUCAUGUUGCAGUAUCUUUUAAAUUCAUCUUUACUUCUAAAAAAGUUAAAACAAAUAUUUAUUUGCUAUAAAAGGUCAUGAAUUUAAAUUAUGACAAAUUCAAAAAUAUUUUAAUCUAUGAAUAUAUAUAUAUAUAUAUAUAUAUAUAUAUAUAUAUAUAUAUAUAGUAUAUAUAUAUAUAUAUAUAUAUAUAUAUAUAUAUAUAUAUAUAUAUAUAUAUAUAUAUAUAUAUAUAUAUAUAUAUAUAUAUAUAUAUAUAUAUUAUAUAUAUAUAUAUAUAUUUGUUUUGGAAUAAAUUCUUCUUUUAUAAAAAUAAGUUAAUUUUAUUUUUGAUAUAUCUUUUUAAUAUUAAACUCUAAAACAAUUUAAGUUUAUUUCAAUUUUAACAAAUUAAAUAGUACUUAUUUAUGAUACCAUUUUGAAUACUACCAUGGAAAGUUGGUCGUUAGUUUUAAGGUUUUAUUUUAAAAUCACAUUACAAGCAUUAAAUAUAUAUAAUAUAAUAGAUAUAUCAUUUUCUUGCAUAUUGAUAUUAUGUUCAGAAUCCAACUCAUUACAAUAUUUUAAAGAAGAUGAUUUCAUGACUCAUUUUUGAAGUUGCAUAUUUCUGAUACCUUAAGUGUUAUGAUUUUGUUGUUUGUCUUAUAAGCGUUUGGUUCUAGUUUUUAUCUUAUUGAGUCUCCUCAUCAAUUAUGCAAUUGAUAUUUAGAUUCGUAUUUUAGCAUGUAUGAGUCCAAGUAUUUGAUUAUAGCUUAAGCAAUAUGAUUGAAAUCAUCAAUCUAUUGAGUUUGUCAGUCAAAAACUAUGAUUGAGAAUGAUUCAAAUCAUGACCAUUGUAGAAUCUCAAAAAUCCUUUAAAAAUUAAUGAAAAGGAAAUUUGGCCAGUGUAACUUGAAUUACACAGUUAGUCUGACUUGAAUCAGAGGAUAUAUUUUCAGAUCUUCUAAUUCGAAUCAAAGGAAGGUCUGAUUUGAAUUAAAGCAAUUUGAAUCAAAUCACAAAAUUGUGUGAUUCGAAUCACUGUGAAAUGGAAAUUCUCCUGGUGGCUUUUAGAACUAUGACUGGGAGCAACCGAUUAUUUGACUCGAGUCAAGUGAUUUGAAUCACAGACCUUGUGAUUCAAAUCACACAAAUGAAUUUCAUAUAGUUUUUGCUUAUUGAUUCAAAUCAUUUGGUUUUUUGAUUCCAAUUAUAACUCUUGCUUUGAACUUAAAUCAUACACCAUUUUUGUCUCAUUUUUAGGCUAGAUCUCCAACACAUAUAGAUACCGUUUUUCUCUCAAAAACCUUCAAAAUAUUAGAAAACACACACUUCCAAUAUUAAUUUGAAAACUCACAAACUACUUGUUCUCUCAUAUUUCCAAAAGAGUUUUAAAUCUUUUUUGAACACUUGUAAGUGAUUUCUUUCAUCUUCUACCUUAUUCUUUAUCCAUUAUUACAUGGAUAAGAAUCUCAUAUUUUGAGAUUCGUGAUUGUUUUUGAGAUGUUUUUGAAUUUAAUGUGUCUUUGAAUAUUUAAUUAAGAUUUUAGAGGUUCUCAAGAUGUGAGAUGUUGUGGUUAGUUUCGACAAUUCGAGUAAAAAAGAAGGACAUUCUUCUCUUCAGGUCUAUAUUGGUAGCGUUGUGUGGAAGCCUACAGACAAGGUGAGAGUUCUUCUCAAUCUUCGGACAUACCAACACUUAAGAUACCGACAGGAUUAAGUAAAGAUCAUUGCAGAGCAGAGACUUUGGAGUAGGUUUUGGGCGUGAAGAUUUCAUAAAGAGUUUAGCUUGUAGGUGUGAAGACAAACUUCCAACAAAUUUUGAUGAAGACAAUGCAUUCAAGCUUAAAUUUCAUUAUCAAAGAAGAAGAGAAAAAAUUGCUUUUGGUCAAUCAAGGUAUAUGGAAAUUCAUAUCAUAUGCAAUCUUAAAGUGCUCAAUUUUACUGAUCAUACAUUUGAAAAUAUUCAUGUCAUACUUUGUUAAAAUGUUUUUUAAAAUGUUUUAAUUGCAUUAGUUGAAAAUAAAUUUUGAUGCAUGCAUAAAGUUGUGGACUUAGAAUUUUUUUCAAUUUAAUUAAGCAAGCAAUUGAUUGACAAAAUUGUGCAAUAGAUUGAAUAGAACUUUGAAAUUUAAAAUUUUAACCACUGCAAUCGAUUAACAUGUUUCUGCAAUCGAUUGCAUCAGUUCAUUUUUUCAAUUUUUUAGUCCUUGCAAUCGAUUGACAGGAUUGUGCAAUCAAUUGUACCUAAACAAGUUUGGAAAAAUACUGAUUCAUGUUCACUACUUCACUCACUCCUUUUCAUGGCAUCUCUUAAAUUAAUCUCAUUAUAUUUCAUAAAUAUUUUCAAACCAUUGCCAUAUUUUAUCAAGGAUGCUUUCAUCACUAUAAAUACAUUCACAGUUUCAUUUUACAUUCACCUCUUUCAAAUUAAUCAUGAAAUCUCUCUGCAUAAUUUUCAAUAGAACCUUUACACUAAUAUACUUUUUGAAAUACAUUUUUAUAUCAUAUUCAACAAAGUAUCUUUGAGCAUUUAUAGAGCAUUUGUUCUUGAAUCUUCAUAUUUUGGAAGAGAAGAAGACUUUUAUCAUUUGAUUAAAUCUUGUCCAUUAUACAAACUUACUUAUUAUACAUAUUAUUACUGUAAAUUCCUAAGUAUCAAGGCUUGCACAGAAACUUCUGCAGAUACAAUUCAACCAGAAUCAAAAUCUGAGUUAGAUUCUGAAGAGGUAUUUUCUGAACUUUCUUGUUCUGAGCUGGAAUCUAGUUUAUCAAAAGUUCUGGAAAAAUAUCAAAAUCUUCUGAACAAAUACAAGAAUCUGAAGAAGAUUCAUGUAUUUGAAUCAGAAGCUUACUAUAAGCUUCAGAAAGACUUUUCAAGUUUGAGUGAAGAAAAUCUCAUUUUGAAAAACAACAACUCUGUGCCUCAAAGGAAGAGUCUCAAAUCCGAAAAGAAAAUUCUUUCAAAAGCCUCUACAGGUUCCGGUGAUAUCAUAAAGAAAUAUGAUCAAUAUUUCCAUAAAUUUCUUGAUAUAAGCCUGAAUAGAAGCUUAAUGGAUUCCAUGAUUUAUGGCGUUGGUAGAAAUGGAAUAAGGGGCAUUGACUAUGAUUCUGAUGAAAUAUAUUUCGGAAAAAGAUGAUAAGCCCGAUACUUUUCGGUCCCAUUUUGUCCCUUUUGGGAAACAAAAUUGAGUUAUGCCUAAACGUAGAAUCGCUUCUAAACCUAAGGCUAAAGUGAAACCUCAUUCCCAUUUCAAUUAUGCAUACAUGUAUAUAUAUCCUGCACAAAAACCCAAGUUUGUUAAGAAAUCUAGGAAGACUAACCCCAAAGGAUCCAGAAAGAUGUGGGUACCUAAGGACAAGAUAGUAUAUAUUGCAUAUAUCCUUAGAAAUAGAGUUGAGACACCAGUCAUGGUACCUGAACUCUGAAUGCUCGUGACACAAGACGGGAAGAAUGCAUAUGAUCCAAAGCUUGGAACUUAAGCCCAGAGGCAUCCUCAGUUUCAUAGGUGAUCAGAAAGGGAAGAUCACUGACUUCAGAAUAGUAGGUAACAAUAAUCUCCCUUCCAUUACUAAUGUUCUUUUAGUUGAAGGAUUAAUGUAUUGUCUUUUGUCCAUAAGUCAAUUAAGUAGCAAUGGUUAUGACAUUAUUUUCCAUUAAAAGUCCUGUAAAGGUGUCAGUGAAAAUGAUAGCUCAGUUCUUUUCAAUGGAAAAAGGAAGAAUAAAGUUUAUAAGAUAAGACUUUCUGAUUUGAAGAAUCAAAAUGUAAAAUGUCUUAUGUUUGUAAAUGAAGAGAAAUGGACGUGGCAUAAACGAUUGGGCCAAGUUAGCAUGGGGAUGAUUUCUCAGUUAAAUAAGCUUAAUUUAGUCAGAGGCCUACCAAAUAUGAAGUUUGCUUCAGAUGCUUUGAAAGGAAAGUUUUCUAAAACUUCUUUCAAGGCUAAAAAUGUUGUCUCAACAUCCAGACCAUUGGAGCUUCUUCAUAUUAACUUGUUUAGACCAGUGAAAACUGCCUUUGUCAAUGGUAAAAAAUAUAGACUGGUCAUUGUUGAUGACUACAGCAGAUGGACAUGGGUGGAAUUUCUCAAACACAAGGAUGAGUCACAUUCUGUGUUUUCUACCUUCUGCUCUCAAGUGCAAAAUGAGAAGGAUCUCAGAAUUGUAAAAGUCAGAAGUGAUCAUGGUGGAGAUUUUGAAAACAAAGAUUUUGAAUAACUCUUUGAUACUAAUGACAUUUCCCAUGAUUUCUCAUGCCCUAGAACUCCACAACAAAAUGGAGUUGUAAAGAGUAAGAAUAGGACUCUGCAAGAGAUGGCCAGAACCAUGAUCAACGAGACUAAUAUGACUAAGCACUUUUGGGCAGAGGCAGCCAACACAUCAUGUUAUAUUCAGAACAAGAUCUCUAUAAGACCUUUUAUGGAUAAUACUCCUUAUGAAUUAUGGAACAAUUUGAAGCCAAACAUUUUAUAUUUUCAUUCUUUUGGAUGUUUUUGUUUUAUACUGAACACUAAAAGGAAUCUGAGCAAGUUUGAUUCUAAGGUGCAGAAGUGCAUCGUGCAACUAUGGCUUCCUGAUUCAUAGGUAGAUUAACACCAAUUCCAUCAAAUCCAUCUAUAAUAGCAGUAGUUCUCUCAUCCUCACUAUCAUCAAAACCUUCAACACCCUCAUCAUUUAAUCAUUCCAUAUUUGUCAUCCCAUUAAUGCAUCUAGGUACUCUUACUUAAAGUUCUAUGUCAUUCACAUCAUGUUCCAGAUAAAUACCACCAUCAACUUGAAUGGCACAAGCAUAUGCAGCAAAAUCGUAUCCAUCAUCAUCCUUCCUCAACUGAAAGAAAUUUCCAUCUAUUUCAAGAAUUUUCAUCCACAUCCUAUAACUUCCUUCUUUAUAACCCCACCCCUUCACCAUGUUAUGGAUUUUAAACAUUGUCCACUUGUCAAUCUAUUGUGAGGAAACGAUCGUAUCCACACCACCUCUAUAUAUGAUGUCGUUCUCCUUUACCAUUAUAAAUUCACCUCCAUGGUGAAAAGUCACAUUAAAAUGUUGCAUGUUAUGUGAAAGGGGUUCGCAAAAAGGUUUAAUGUUCAACAUUACAAUCAAUACAUAAACAAGCCCGAACAUUGGACGAGAGUUCGAACAAACUAACCUCAGACAUUGAAAGCUUCAAUGGCGUCUUCGUGCUUUGCCUUCAAUCAUGCAAUGUAAUUCAUCAUUGUUCGUCCUCCAAAAAUAAGCUCGUGAUGCUUCAAUGGCUACUUCAAAGGCGUUCUUCAAAUUCGUCUCUUCGAUGGGUUUAUGAAUUUGGGACCAAACUAAUCCUAAUUUUUAAAAGGGGGUGGAGGCAAUUAAAAAGAAUAAAAAAUGAACAAUGCCACGUAGACAAAACAAAAUAUGCUAUAUAGGAUUAAAAUAAUAUUUUAUGUUGAAAUAGUCAACCCAUGGGCUAGAUACAAAAAAAAUCUUGAUAAUAUAAGGGGGGAAUAAAAAAAUAUUUUUUAUAGGUAAUUUGAAACUUGCUAAUACUAUAGGGGAUCACAAAUAUUUAACCCAAUAAUUUUUAAAAAAUAAUUUAAUUUUUUAAAAACUAAUUUAUUUUAUAAAUUAAUAUGAAUUAUAUAAUUGAUGCGAAUGAUGAUUUAGAAUAAAUCAUGCAAAUACAUUUUAUUUUUUAUUCAACGAUUGUAUCAACCACAAAAUUGAUCUAUGAUAUGCUCUACUUGUGCAUAAGUAACAAAAACACGUUCUCAAACCAAUAAUGAUUUAUUCACAAGUAACUUUACCAUGGUCUGAAAAGAAAUUUUUCUCUUUAUUCUCAUGAAAGAUUAACAAAGUGAUGCAAGUUAGUUAAACAAAUGAAUUUUUAAUGAUUAACAAGUUUGUUACGUGCCCUCCUUAAUCGAUGUGUUAAAGGGACAAAUUAACACACCGUAAUGAUAUGACUUAAAAAUAAUUAUUAUAAAUUUAUGAAGGGCUUUUAGAACUUCAAAAGUGCUAAGAAACCAUUUAAUUAUUUUUAGGAGAGCAUGCAUUUUAUACACUAUAAAGAGAUAAAACUAUAUUCUAUUUUUCACAUACAAAAAUAAUAUUAGUAUGGCUACAAUUUUCAAGCUUGUUUUUGUUAUGAUUCUGAUUCUUCCCUUAUUUCUUGUUGCACUCGAAGAUGGUGGUAAAAAAAAUUCUAGGAGGAUGAUGCAUUCGAGUAAUAUGAAAGACGAGAGUGACAAGCAAGAGAAUAAUAGAGGACAUGAACAUCCAAUGGACCGUGAAUUUGAGGGAGGAGGGGAUGAUUAUAAAAGAGACUUAAAAUGUUUUCGAUGCGGACAUGUUGGGCAUAAUGCAUUUCAAUGCACUUCCAACGAAAAGUUGUGUUUCAAUUGUAAGAAUCCAGGACAUUUUAUUAAAGAAUGUGAAGAAGUGAAAAAUGAACCUUUAGUGAAUGCUGCUAAGGCAUAAAAUUGUAGAUCUAUCUUUCAUGAGAUUUAGAUAGUUUCAAUCUAUAUUUUUCUCAAUCUUCUUCGAUCUUAAAUCUUAUGUGAGUUUUGAGGUCUUGCAUGUAGUUUAUGAAGAUUGCACGUCACUUUGAACGGUUAAUCAUAUUUAGAAAGUCAUAAAGUUUCAAAUUUCUUUCUUUUGGAUAUGAGCUAAGGCUUUAAUUUGAGUAUUAGUGUUCGUGAAAUUUGUUGUUUAUGAAUUUGAGAUUUGUGAUUAAUUAUUAUGUACUGUUUAUUGUAAACAGUUUUAUACGGUUAAUUAAUUAUUAUCAUUCGUUUGUAUUAUUUUAUAGGUAAUUAAAAUAAAAGUCAAAUUUCUUUUGACAUCCAACGUCUAUGAUUAACUGAUUGUGUAAAAUUAUUCUAUAUUUGGUGUAAGAUGUUGUGUAUGAAUAUUA
rnacentral:lncRNA from 1 species